GCCGGGCGCGGUGGCGCACGCCUGUAGUCCUAGCUACUCGGGAGGCUGAGGCAGGAGGAUCGCUUGAGUCCAGGAGUUCUGGGCUGCAGUGCGCUAUGCCGAUCGGGUGUCUGCACUAAGUUCGGCAUCAAUAUGGUGACCUCCCGGGAGCGGGGGACCACCAGGUUGCCUAAGGAGGGGUGAACUGGCCCAGGUCGGAAACGGAGCAGGUCAAAACUCCCGUGCUGAUCAGUAUCCCCAGGGCUUCUGGUCUGGAUGGGUUGUGUUGUUAAUUCAGGAAGACAGAGGCCCAGUGUGUACACAAAGGCUAACAA
rnacentral:SRP_RNA from 1 species